GUCGCAUUAGCUAGUUGGUGAGGUAACGGCUCACCAAGGCAACGAUGCGUAGCCGACCUGAGAGGGUGAUCGGCCACACUGGGACUGAGACACGGCCCAGACUCCUACGGGAGGCAGCAGUAGGGAAUCUUCCGCAAUGGACGAAAGUCUGACGGAGCAACGCCGCGUGAGUGAUGAAGGCUUUCGGGUCGUAAAACUCUGUUGUUAGGGAAGAACAAGUGCUAGUUGAAUAAGCUGGCACCUU
rnacentral:rRNA from 1 species